ACUCCUGCGGGAGGCAGCAGUGGGGAAUAUUGCACAAUGGGCGCAAGCCUGAUGCAGCCAUGCCGCGUGUAUGAAGAAGGCCUUCGGGUUGUAAAGUACUUUCAGCGGGGAGGAAGGCAAUACGGUUAAUAACCGUGUUGAUUGACGUUACCCGCAGAAGAAGCACCGGCUAACUCCGUGCCAGCAGCCGCGGUAAUACGGAGGGUGCAAGCGUUAAUCGGAAUUACUGGGCGUAAAGCGCACGCAGGCGGUCUGUCAAGUCGGAUGUGAAAUCCCCGGGCUCAACCUGGGAACUGCAUUCGAAACUGGCAGGCUUGAGUCUUGUAGAGGGGGGUAGAAUUCCAGGUGUAGCGGUGAAAUGCGUAGAGAUCUGGAGGAAUACCGGUGGCGAAGGCGGCCCCCUGGACAAAGACUGACGCUCAGGUGCGAAAGCGUGGGGAGCAAACAGGAUUAGAAACCCUUGUAGUCCCAUG
rnacentral:rRNA from 1 species